rnacentral:tRNA from 1 species
UCCCUGGUGAUCCAGUCCCUAAGAUUCUGCCCUUACAAUGCAGGGGCACAGGUUCAAUUCCCGGUCAGGGAA